UACAGAGAGUGCGAACGUUGUUCGGAAUCACUGGGCUUAAAGCGCACGUAGGCGGCAUCGUAAGUGUCGGGUGAAAUCCCACGGCUCACCCGUGGAACUGCCCGGCAGACUGCGAUGCUCGAGUGUGGUAGGGGAGAACGGAACUCCUGGUGGAGCGGUGAAAUGCGUAGAUAUCAGGAGGGACACCGGUGGCGAAGGCGGUUCUCUGGUCCACAACUGACGCUGAGGUGCGAAAGCUAGGGGAGCAAACGGG
rnacentral:rRNA from 1 species